rnacentral:tRNA from 1 species
GGAGGGGUGGCCGAGUGGCUUAAGGCGACGGUCUUGAAAACCGUUAUAGGGGCGACUCUAUCGCAGGUUCGAAUCCUGUCCCCUCCGCCA